CAACAUCUGCCAGUGAGGAGUCAGUAGGUAGAAAAUUCCACGUGGACCAUCUACACAUGUUCUCCUGGAUGUUUGCCCCAUGACAGCCCAGAGGAGACAUCAUUUUUCAAUCAUCUCUGCACCUCAACUCUCUCUGUCCUUUCCUUCAGCAUCAGUGAUUUCCUGCCAACUCUGACCCAUCAUUCUUUUCCCCAGUCUCAAAAAACCUCCUGCCCACCUCCCCAAAUAUUUUAUACAUAAUCCUAUUGCAUGCAGCCUUGAUUCAGGAAUAUUCUAGAGGUGGCACCUGCAAUCAAAGCCUCCUCCUGCUCACUGUCAGUAGUUCAGCUUUCUGUUCUGAGAGCCCAGACUUCCAGGUACUAGUCCUGAAGAAAAUGAAUUCUUCGAAGCUCGCCUGCAGAUUUCUUUUCUUGAGCACUACCCCUUCAUCCCUGCUUCCACAUGUGAGAUCCCCAGGGCUGGGAUAAAGGUGAAGUGAGCAAGUCAUCUAGGACACAACAUUGAAGGGGACACCACUCUCACAGUUUUGCAAAUACCUUCAGCUCCUCACUUGCCUCACCCUGGUCCUGGCCUGGAUGAUCAUAGGUACCUCACCUGGGUUCAUGGUGCAAAGUGUGAACAUUCAGUAUGGUGAACUGAAGAAAAACAAAAAUCGAAUGAGAAAUCAAAAAAGCAGAAUUUUCAUUUUGACUUUAUUACUAACUCAACAUGAUAUCAAGAAAAA